GAGUUUGAUCAUGGCUCAGAUUGAACGCUGGCGGUAGGCUUAACACAUGCAAGUCGUGCGAGAAAGUAUCUUCGGAUAUGAGUAGAGCGGCGGACGGGUGAGUAACGCGUAGGAAUCUACCUAGUAGAAGGGGAUAGCCCGGGGAAACCCGGAUUAAUACCGUAUACCUCCUUCGGGAGAAAGAAGGCCUCUCUUUGAAGCUUUCGCUAUUAGAUGAGCCUGCGUAAGAUUAGCUUGUUGGUGAGGUAAAGGCUCACCAAGGCUACGAUCUUUAGCUGGUCUGAGAGGACGAUCAGCCACAUUGGGACUGAGACACGGCCCAGACUCCUACGGGAGGCAGCAGUGGGGAAUAUUGGACAAUGGGCGCAAGCCUGAUCCAGCCAUACCGCGUGUGUGAAGAAGGCCUUCGGGUUGUAAAGCACUUUAAGCAGGGAGAAAAAGUUAUAAGUUAAUACCUUAUAACCGUGAUGUUACCUGCAGAAUAAGCACCGGCUAAUUCCGUGCCAGCAGCCGCGGUAAUACGGAAGGUGCAAGCGUUAAUCGGAAUUACUGGGCGUAAAGCGCGCGUAGGUGGUUUGUUAAGUUGGAUGUGAAAGCCCUGGGCUCAACCUAGGAACUGCAUCCAAAACUAACUCACUAGAGUACGAUAGAGGGAGGUAGAAUUCAUAGUGUAGCGGUGGAAUGCGUAGAUAUUAUGAAGAAUACCAGUGGCGAAGGCGGCCUCCUGGAUCUGUACUGACACUGAGGUACGAAAGCGUGGGUAGCGAACGGGAUUAGAUACCCUGGUAGUCCACGCCGUAAACGAUGACAACUAGCUGUUGGGAGA
rnacentral:rRNA from 1 species